rnacentral:rRNA from 1 species
GCCUUCCGAGUUCCCUGGAACGGGACGCCAUAGAGGGUGAGAGCCCCGUCUGGUUGGAUACCGAGUCUCUGUAAAGCUCCUUCGACGAGUCGAGUAGUUUGGGAAUGCUGCUCUAAAUGGGAGGUAUAUGUCUUCUAAAGCUAAAUACCGGCCAGAGACCGAUAGCGCACAAGUAGAGUGAUCGAAAGAUGAAAAGCACUUUGAAAAGAGGGUUAAACAGUACGUGAAAUUGUUGAAAGGGAAGCGUUCAUGACCAGACUUGGACCCGGCGAAUCAUCCAGCGUUCUCGCUGGUGCACUUUGCCGGGCUCAGGCCAGCAUCAGUUUGCCCCGGGGGAUAAAGGCUUUGGGAAUGUGGCUCCUCCGGGAGUGUUAUAGCCCGCUGCACAAUACUCUGGGGCGGACUGAGGUUCGCGCAUCUGCAUGGAUGCUGGCGUAAUGGUCAUCAGCGACCCGUCUUGAAACACGGACCAAGGAGUCGUCUUCGUAUGCGAGUGUUCGGGUGUCAAACCCCUACGCGUAAUGAAAGUGAACGCAGGUGAGAGCUUCGGCGCAUCAUCGACCGAUCCUGAUGUUCUCGGAUGGAUUUGAGUAAGAGCAUACGGGGCCGGACCCGAAAGAAGGUGAACUAUGCCUGUAUAGGGUGAAGCCAGAGGAAACUCUGGUGGAGGCUCGCAGCGGUUCUGACGUGCAAAUCGAUCGUCAAAUAUGGGCAU